CAUGCAAGUCGAACGAUGAACCACUUCGGUGGGGAUUAGUGGCGAACGGGUGAGUAACACGUGGGCAAUCUGCCCUUCACUCUGGGACAAGCCCUGGAAACGGGGUCUAAUACCGGAUAACACUUCCAUCCUCCUGGGUGGAGGUUAAAAGCUCCGGCGGUGAAGGAUGAGCCCGCGGCCUAUCAGCUUGUUGGUGAGGUAAUGGCUCACCAAGGCGACGACGGGUAGCCGGCCUGAGAGGGCGACCGGCCACACUGGGACUGAGACACAGCCCAGACUCCUACGGGAGGCAGCAGUGGGGAAUAUUGCACAAUGGGCGAAAGCCUGAUGCAGCGACGCCGCGUGAGGGAUGACGGCCUUCGGGUUGUAAACCUCUUUCAGCAGGGAAGAAGCGAAAGUGACGGUACCUGCAGAAGAAGCGCCGGCUAACUACGUGCCAGCAGCCGCGGUAAUACGUAGGGCGCAAGCGUUGUCCGGAAUUAUUGGGCGUAAAGAGCUCGUAGGCGGUCUGUCGCGUCUGGUGUGAAAUCCCAUGGCUCAACUGUGGGCUUGCAUCGGGUACGGGCAGACUAGAGUGCUGUAGGGGAGACUGGAAUUCCUGGUGUAGCGGUGGAAUGCGCAGAUAUCANGAGGAACACCGAUGGCGAAGGCAGGUCUCUGGGCAGUUACUGACGCUGA
rnacentral:rRNA from 1 species